rnacentral:rRNA from 1 species
AGGUAAGCUACUAAGAGCGAAUGGUGGAUGCCUUGACUGGUAAAGGCGAUGAAGGACGUACUAGACUGCGAUAAGCUACGGGGAGCUGUCAAGAAGCUUUGAUCCGUAGAUUUCCGAAUGGGGCAACCCAAUGUAUAGAGAUAUACAUUACCUAUAUAGGAGCGAACGAGGGGAAUUGAAACAUCUUAGUACCCUCAGGAAAAGAAAUCAAUAGAGAUUGCGUCAGUAGCGGCGAGCGAAAGCGCAAGAGGGCAAACCCAGUGCUUGCACUGGGGGUUGUAGGACUGCAAUGUGCAAGAGGUAAGUUUAGCAGAACAUUCUGGAAAGUAUAACCAUAGAGGGUGAUAGUCCCGUAUGCGAAAAACAAACCUUAGCUAGCAGUAUCCUGAGUAGGGCGGGACACGAGGAAUCCUGUCUGAAUCCGGGUCGACCACGAUCCAACCCUAAAUACUAAUACCAGAUCGAUAGUGCACAAGUACCGUGAGGGAAAGGUGAAAAGAACUGAGGUGAUCAGAGUGAAAUAGAACCUGAAACCAUUUGCUUACAAUCAUUCAGAGCCCUAUGUAGCAAUACAGGGUGAUGGACUGCCUUUUGCAUAAUGAGCCUGCGAGUUGUGGUGUCUGGCAAGGUUAAGCAAACGCGAAGCCGUAGCGAAAGCGAGUCUGAAUAGGGCGCUUAGUCAGAUGCUGCAGACCCGAAACGAAGUGAUCUAUCCAUGAGCAAGUUGAAGCUAGUGUAAGAACUAGUGGAGGACUGAACCCAUAGGCGUUGAAAAGCCCCGGGAUGACUUGUGGAUAGGGGUGAAAGGCCAAUCAAACUUCGUGAUAGCUGGUUCUCUCCGAAAUAUAUUUAGGUAUAGCGUUGUGUCGUAAUAUAAGGGGGUAGAGCACUGAAUGGGCUAGGGCAUACACCAAUGUACCAAACCCUAUCAAACUCCGAAUACCUUAUAUGUAAUCACAGCAGUCAGGCGGCGAGUGAUAAAAUCCGUCGUCAAGAGGGAAACAACCCAGACUACCAGCUAAGGUCCCUAAGUCUUACUUAAGUGGAAAACGAUGUGAAGUUACUUAAACAACCAGGAGGUUGGCUUAGAAGCAGCCAUCCUUUAAAGAAAGCGUAAUAGCUCACUGGUCUAGUGAUUUUGCGCGGAAAAUAUAACGGGGCUAAAGUAAGUACCGAAGCUGUAGACUUAGUUUACUAAGUGGUAGGAGAGCGUUCUAUUUGCGUCGAAGGUAUACCGGUAAGGAGUGCUGGAGCGAAUAGAAGUGAGCAUGCAGGCAUGAGUAGCGAUAAUUAAUGUGAGAAUCAUUAACGCCGUAAACCCAAGGUUUCCUACGCGAUGCUCGUCAUCGUAGGGUUAGUCGGGUCCUAAGUCGAGUCCGAAAGGGGUAGACGAUGGCAAAUUGGUUAAUAUUCCAAUACCAACAUUAGUGUGCGAUGGAAGGACGCUUAGGGCUAAGGGGGCUAGCGGAUGGAAGUGCUAGUCUAAGGUCGUAGGAGGUUAUACAGGCAAAUCCGUAUAACAAUACUCCGAGAACUGAAAGGCUUUUUGAAGUCUUCGGAUGGAUAGAAGAACCCCUGAUGCCGUCGAGCCAAGAAAAGUUUCUAAGUUUAGCUAAUGUUGCCCGUACCGUAAACCGACACAGGUGGGUGGGAUGAGUAUUCUAAGGCGCGUGGAAGAACUCUCUUUAAGGAACUCUGCAAAAUAGCACCGUAUCUUCGGUAUAAGGUGUGGUUAGCUUUGUAUUAGGAUUUACUCCGAAAGCAAGGAAACUUACAACAAAGAGUCCCUCCCGACUGUUUACCAAAAACACAGCACUCUGCUAACUCGUAAGAGGAUGUAUAGGGUGUGACGCCUGCCCGGUGCUCGAAGGUUAAUUGAUGGGGUUAGCAUUAGCGAAGCUCUUGAUCGAAGCCCGAGUAAACGGCGGCCGUAACUAUAACGGUCCUAAGGUAGCGAAAUUCCUUGUCGGUUAAAUACCGACCUGCAUGAAUGGCGUAACGAGAUGGGAGCUGUCUCAAAGAGGGAUCCAGUGAAAUUGUAGUGGAGGUGAAAAUUCCUCCUACCCGCGGCAAGACGGAAAGACCCCGUGGACCUUUACUACAGCUUGACACUGCUACUUGGAUAAGAAUGUGCAGGAUAGGUGGGAGGCUUUGAGUAUAUGACGCCAGUUGUAUAUGAGCCAUUG